AUCCAGGCCCACUGUGUUUUAUUUGUUUGGUUUGUUUGGUUGUUGUAACAGCUCUGUUAAAUUCUAGAUUCUGAUCAGGAGGUGUUGAUUAAGUAAGGAAUAACGCACAAGAGGCUGUGCUAUUACACGAAAUUACAGCAUUAUAAUUAUUAUUAUUGUGGUCUGUGUGGUCUAAUGCCCCAGUAUAGUGAAGUGGACACUAUGCUGUAAAAACAGCACCGUCUUUCGGAUGAGACGUUAAACUGAGGUCCUGACUCUCUGUGGUCGUUAAAAAUCCAGGACACUUCUCGUAAACGGGUAGGGGUAUAACCUCGAAAUUCCCCCAUUGACCCUUCUCUAUCAUGGCCCCCUAAUAAUCCCCAUCUCUGAAUUGGCUACUUAACUCCCUCCUCUCCACUAAUAGCUGGUGUGUGGUGUAUGUUCUGGCGCACUAUGGCUGCCGUCGCAUGAUCCACAUGGAUGCUACACUCUGGCAGCGGUUGAGGAGGACCCCCCGCCCCCCAUAUACAGCUAGGCUCAAACAUGUUCAAGCCAACCAGGACAGCCAGAAACCUUGGCGUGAUUUUCGAUGACCACUUGAAAUGAUCUUGUGAUCUUGCAGCUCUCACUUCAAUAACUACACAUUCCUGCAUUGCAGCCAGCUCCAUCAAACCCCUUCAGAUGAUUCAAAAUG
ensembl:lncRNA